AUUAGUUUUUAUUGCUGAAAAAUACAUUAGCAUAAAUUUAGCAACCAAAAAAGCAAUAUUUAUUUAUUAACUUCCAGGUCUGUAGGCAAGAUGUCUCAGUACAUCAUAGCUGAAUUCUCUGCUCAGCAUUAAGAAGAUUGAAAUGGCAUUAACUGGGCUGUAUUCCUUCUGAAUUCUGGGGUGCAUAACAGAAAUCCUAUAUUGGCAACUGACAGAAUACUCACACGACUUGCCAAUCUAUGGGUUACGAGCGAUUAUGAUGGAAUAAACCAAAGGAAGCUCCUGAAAAUUACUUCUUCAGUCAAAAAAGUUCCAAGAUGAGCAACAUAGUGGUACUUCUUGGUAGCUUUAGGAGGUUAAUGACUCAAAUUUAUUACAAACAAGGGACAAAUUCCAUCAGACACUGGUGAAAAACUCCUGCAAAGAAUCUGUUGGCUCUCUGAUACUUGUCAGGUACAAGCGCUUGGGUUAACUGAGUGGGCUCCUGUGAUCUGAGAAAAUGCCUCAGGUGUUUGAAGUUGUAAGCCAAACAAUACUCAACUUAAGGAAUUCCAUCUUGUCUUAAAUUGUCUGAAAACUUUCCCCAGCAUAACUUUACACUAACAAAAGGAGAAACCUUGUUAAAAAGUUGCUGAAAAGAGUUUUGAAACUGGCAACAGUAGACAGAAAGACCUGGAAGGUCAUCAUGAACUCCUCUUUAGACCCCUUGCAUUUGGAAACUGAAAAACACAAAGAUGUGAUUGUAAAUAUGGACAUCACUGCUGCUAUCAACUCUUCAACUGAGAGAUACCAGCAGGAAAGUAAAGUCUUCUACUAAACAUCCCUCAUCUUACACAGUGACUAUUUUUCCACAUAGUAGGUAC